rnacentral:rRNA from 1 species
CCUACGUGAGGCAGCAGUGGGGAAUAUUACACAAUGGGGGAAACCCUGAUGCAGCGACGCCGCGUGCAGGAAGAAGUAUUUCGGUAUGUAAACUUCUAUCAGCAGGGAAGAAAAUGACGGUAACUGACUAAGAAGCCCCGGCUAACUACGUGCCAGCAGCCGCGGUAAUACGUAGGGGGCAAGCGUUAUCCGGAUGUACUGGGUGUAAAGGGAGAGGAGGCGGCGAGUCAAGUCAGAAGUGAAAGCCCGGGGCUCAACUCCGGGACUGCUUUUGAAACUGUGUUGCUAGAUUGCAGGAGAGGUAAGUGGAAUUCCUAGUGUAGCGGUGAAAUGCGUAGAUAUUAGGAGGAACACCAGUGGCGAAGGCGGCUUACUGGACUGUAAAUGACGCUGAGGCUCGAAAGCGUGGGGAGCAAACAGGAUUAGAUACCCGGGUAGUC